GCGCCUGUAGCUCAGUUGGAUAGAGCAACGGACUUCUAAUCCGUAGGUCGAGCGUUCGAAUCGCCCCAGGCGUA
rnacentral:tRNA from 1 species